AGUUCUAUGAAUGUAUUUCUUAUUUUGUAUAUGAAUAAAAUUUUCUUAAUCAAAAAUGAUAUAUCCUAUAUUACAGAGAAUAAAGAUUUUGCUGUUAUUAUUGUUCUCCAUAAAGGAUUUGAGAAAAGCAUCUCUUAUUCUAAAGAUCUAUGAGAUAGAUCUAAGAGACUGUUUGGGUUUUUUUAGUCUAACAUACAUAGGGUAUUUAUGAGUAAAAUUUAUUCUAUCAUAUAUACCAUGUAUG
rnacentral:lncRNA from 1 species